rnacentral:rRNA from 1 species
UACGUAGGGUGCGAGCGUUGUCCGGAAUUACUGGGCGUAAAGAGCUUGUAGGUGGUUUGUCGCGUUGUUCGUGAAAUCUCACGGCUCAACUGUGAGCGUGCGGGCGAUACGGGCAGACUAGAGUACUGCAGGGGAGACUGGAAUUCCUGGUGUAGCGGUGGAAUGCGCAGAUAUCAGGAGGAACACCGGUGGCGAAGGCGGGUCUCUGGGCAGUAACUGACGCUGAGGCGCGAAAGCGUGGGGAGCAAACAGG